GCCGUGGUGGCACAACCUGGUACUGCGCAAGCCUGGAAAGCUUGUUUCCUUCGGGAUGUCCCAGUUCAAAUCUGGGCCACGGCG
rnacentral:tRNA from 1 species